rnacentral:Y_RNA from 1 species
GGUUGGUCCAAUGGUAGUGGGUUAUCAGAACUUAUUAACAUUAGUGUCACUAAAGUUGGUAUAUGACCCUGCCACUGCUAAAUUUGACUGGCUUUUU